rnacentral:rRNA from 1 species
ACGGCGACCGGCGCACGGGUGAGUAACACGUAUGCGACCUGCCCGUAGCAGGGGGAUAAGCGGAAGAAAUUCCGUCUAAUACCGCGUAAUAUCUUUCGGGGGCAUCCCUGAGGGAUUAAAGGAAGCGAUUCCGGCUACGGAUGGGCAUGCGGCGCAUUAGCUAGUCGGCGGGGUAACGGCCCACCGAGGCGACGAUGCGUAGGGGUUCUGAGAGGAAGGUCCCCCGCACUGGUACUGAGACACGGACCAGACUCCUACGGAAGGCAGCAG